UUUUCAGUUUUUCAGUCUUUGUCACUCCUCCUCAGUGAGUUUCUGCUCCUCCCUCCUGCCACGCCCACCUCACCUGCUCCUCCUUCCCUGUUUGCCACAGCUGCGUUCACUUUCCUCGUUAGCUUCAGUCUUAUUCUGUCAGCUUCUAGKCCAUUCUCAGUUGAACAUGCAUCUUACACGUCAAGUCUAGUUUCUGUGCCUGCUCCGAGUCUCCCUCAUGGAACUGUAAAAUUUGUUGCCACGCCCACUUUUUGUUUUGAUAAUUAAGUUUUGCUUAGUUCUUCAAGCUCAGUGUUAAGCUGCAWUCCUGGGUCCAGAUCUUCCUGCCAGCCAAGAAGAACAACAGGAACAAAACAUUAUCCAAUGUGUGCUGACAAGCAGAUCUUGGUGAAGGGAGGAGCAGAUGGAGAGAGAGAGAGAGAAAGAGAGAGGGACGAUUUCAAAACAAGGGGGCAUAUUUACUAGUGCUUUUUUGAAGAUCUCUGAGCUGGGCUUCUGCAAAGACUUUGGUCAGUAAUAAAGAAGAAUUUCCCUCAGGGAGCACACACUGUUAACAGCAGUUAGCCUUAGCACUGCGAGUGCAGCCUGCGGCACUGAGGUUGUUCAAAGAGCUAUCUAUAAGAGCCCUGCAUGGUCAGGCGGCCAAACCACAUGAACACAGUUAGCAGAAACUGUGCUCCGGGGGAGCAACACAUCGGUCUUCAACCUGAAGUUUUUAUUUUUUAUUUUUUUUGCAUGAGGAAAUCAAAGACUUGCUGGUAAUGACUUCAGUCUGGGCCAUGCGUGGGGGUCCGUUUUGAGCUGCUGUUCCCCAGCCGUGGCGGUGCUUUCACACAUGCUCAUUCACAGGCAGCUCAUAGGACACGGCGAGGCUCGACCCCGCUCGGUCAACGACCACACAAACGACAUGUGGAGCCAGCUCUGGGCCCGUUCAGUCAGUCACACUUAAUCACAUAUAGAAACGCAGAAAAUAUUUGUAGGAGUAAGUCAUCAAGGAGAAACAAAAACCAGUGAAUGUAACGAGACCAUUGUUUGAAUGGUAAAAUGGACAAAUGAAGGAARGGAAAGGUUAGAGUCAAACUGGUGAUGCAGUCUCAGCAGCGUUGCUGUUGAGAAACCAACAGAGGGCAGUGUGGCUUGUAUSAGAGGAAAGCCAGCAGCUGGGGUUCAAGGUUGUGAUCACCUGACAUGAGCAGACAGACACACACACACACUUACAGUACACAUGUUUUGUGUUUUGCCUGGUUAUUAUAUACAUAAAUGAUAAACAGACUCCAAUAAUCUUUUCUUCUUUAUGAUCUGUGGAGGAAAAACUCUCUGAUCUCCUCUGUGGCUGGUGUGCCUCUCUCAUUGGUUAAUUUCCUCUCAACUCAUUCAGAAUCAGUGUCGUUUCAAGGAUGAAAUAUCAAAUACUGCACUGUAGUUGAAAAGYCAGCUCAUUUAUUUACUACAUCUUAAAAAAUAUUAUCUUAAAAAUAAUAUUAGAAGCAAAAAGAAGAGUGGGCAUUUGAUAAAUUAAACAGACCACAUGGCUGUGUGCUGGUUUGAUGCUAUUCAUCUUUUUAUGAGACAGUAGAGACGGACUGUCUGGGUGUAAUCAGAUGAAAUCAUUCAUGAUUCUUAAAAAUGUACAAAUAAAARUGAAAUAAAUUGCUCAGAGUUGGUGGGAGCGGUUUGUUUUUGUCAUCGGUGGGUUUCACUGGUUGAAACUCCCUCCAGAACACUUUUGUAUCACCUUGUAUGUUUUGUUAUUCAUGAAUGUGAGUGCUUGGUUCGCAAAUGGUGUGGUUUAGUUUGUGAGUAAGGGGGGAAAAACAGGAAAAAAGAAAGGAGAGAUGGAUGAGGGCAGUUUGGGGGCCAUGKGUGUUUUAAUUAUCCACUGCUCUGUUGUUGGGUCAGAGCUUGCUAUCUCUUCCCGCCUUUAAUGAUUUGAGCAGUACCUUCAUCCCUAAACCUUCUGCUCCUCCAAACAAAGGAAAGGAAGAGGGUAAAAAAAGGGUAUUAAAGUCAUGACUGUCCCACAUUUACCAUUAAUAUCUCUCAACCUCCUCCUUUUAAAAUGUAGAGC